AGUCGAGCGGAUGAAGGGAGCUUGCUCCUGGAUUCAGCGGCGGACGGGUGAGUAAUGCCUAGGAAUCUGCCUGGUAGUGGGGGAUAACGUCCGGAAACGGGCGCUAAUACCGCAUACGUCCUGAGGGAGAAAGUGGGGGAUCUUCGGACCUCACGCUAUCAGAUGAGCCUAGGUCGGAUUAGCUAGUUGGUGGGGUAAAGGCCUACCAAGGCGACGAUCCGUAACUGGUCUGAGAGGAUGAUCAGUCACACUGGAACUGAGACACGGUCCAGACUCCUACGGGAGGCAGCAGUGGGGAAUAUUGGACAAUGGGCGAAAGCCUGAUCCAGCCAUGCCGCGUGUGUGAAGAAGGUCUUCGGAUUGUAAAGCACUUUAAGUUGGGAGGAAGGGCAGUAAGUUAAUACCUUGCUGUUUUGACGUUACCAACAGAAUAAGCACCGGCUAACUUCGUGCCAGCAGCCGCGGUAAUACGAAGGGUGCAAGCGUUAAUCGGAAUUACUGGGCGUAAAGCGCGCGUAGGUGGUUCAGCAAGUUGGAUGUGAAAUCCCCGGGCUCAACCUGGGAACUGCAUCCAAAACUACUGAGCUAGAGUACGGUAGAGGGUGGUGGAAUUUCCUGUGUAGCGGUGAAAUGCGUAGAUAUAGGAAGGAACACCAGUGGCGAAGGCGACCACCUGGACUGAUACUGACACUGAGGUGCGAAAGCGUGGGGA
rnacentral:rRNA from 1 species